ACACACACGCCCAUCCUUUUUUAGUCUGUAAUUAACAGUGUUAAUUUUUUUUCUGAAAAUACAUUAAGAAGGUGAGAGAAAGUCUGUGACAAAAUGAUGAGGGUACAGCCCACACAGCUGAAUGUCUCUAUAUGGGGGGCCUUCUUUCUCUGAGCGCACAGUGUCCAUUGCAAGUGCUACCAGCACUCAUACAAAUGUUGCAUUUCUUUGAACAACAGUACUGCAGUACUGAAAAGUGAGCAUGUUUUCAGCUUCAUUUAAUUAUCAUUAGUUGUCUUCUUUCUUUGAAUGUCUUGCCUUCGGUAGCUCGACAGUGCCUUUUCUGUCCUCUCAGAAUUUUCUGUGCUGUGAGCUUUGCACUUACAAAUGAUUUGAACUUGUGGAAGUGGCAGGGGCAACUUUCGGAAACAUGUAGCUGCCAAGUUUCCUGUGAUGUGAUCUUAAAAUAGACCAGACUGGGAAAGAGGGGAGGACUGUCACUAAGUGCUGCUCCGCAUGUCAGGACUGUUUUUACUUGAUCUGUAUCGGCUGGUGAACUCCUUUGCAAGCAGAAGAAAGAACUUCACCCCCACCCAUUUCCUCUUUUCAGGCUAUUUUGGGCUCACUGUGAAGUUCUCAGUGUACUUUCUCAGCCAGAGCAGCAUUGUGAGCUCCUUCUGGAGUCAUUAAAUUUAACGAAGAGCUAGUCCCAGGAAGAGGCAUCAGGAUAUUAAGGAAUUUAUGGAAUAUUCAAGCUGAGGAUUCUUAUUAGUGCAUGGUUGAAAAAUGCCACUGCCUAAACAUACAUCACUGAUCUAUUUCUGUAGCGAGGCGAUAGCCUAAUUCUUUUUUUUUCCCUCUGAAGUUUCCACCAGAAUGGCUCAGUUGUUUUCAGUGAGAUUUUCUUUGACUCCAGCCACUGUGGGAGAAAUCAGAAUUGGAGUCCAAUUUUCCAUGUGGAGGUGAAGAGUUCUCCUCUCAUUAGUUAUGUUCAUAUUCCCAGGAAAAAAAAAGCAUCUAGAGCAGAAAAAAGAAAAAAAUCUAAAGAAGAUGUGGAAAUGUGGGAGAACACAUUCUCAGAUUUCUCUGCAUAGAAAACUCAGGAUGAUAUGAAACAUACACAUGUAAAAGAGAAGAAGACAACGGGGGCAGGGAUUAAAGGGUUUUGUCCCAUGUUUGGUUGGGGCUUUUUGCUGUUUUUUGCAGAACUGCACAGUCCUGCAGUUCCUCAAGUCCUCAAGACUGUUACUACUUGAGCCUACCAAAGGCUAAGCAGUUUAGAGGAGGAAGGAUUUGUAACCUGCAGGAUUUCUCAGUGAUGUUGUAAAUACUAGCUUAAUCCUUGGAAGAGCUUGGAUGGAAGGUUACACUUGAUUAAACAUAAGCAUUUUCCAGAGAAGUCCUUAGAAAGUCCUUUGUGGGAAUGGAAAAAAUGUCUGAUUUUAUUUUUUUUUUCCUAAACUCAUUAAAUUUAAAAUUCAAGAACAAACCAGGAAAAGAUUAUUUGGCUCUUGCUGCAUCAUAAUAAAUUAUCAUAACAAAACAAAAGGCAGAUAUUCAGUAUCUGAAAAUUCUUUGAAAUUUGCCUUUGGGAAGAAUGCUCCUUGUGAAAUCAUGGUGAGGUCAGUUGACAGAUCCUCACUUCUCAGCAUGGAUGGUAUGUUAUUUUUUUGCACUGUAAAUGCAUCAGUCUUCUGGGUGUGUGCAUACCCCAAACAGGUACCCUUUUUUUCCCAUUUUAAAAGGGAACAGAUAUUUUCCAGAAGAAUCAAUCACCUUUGUUUUGCCCCCAAAUUAUAAUUUCAUCACUGAGUAGUCUUGAUGCCUCAAAUGUUUUCAGGUCUACCUGAAGUCCUUUGGGGAGAAUUGAGAAGGAAAUAGUAAUUUUAAGUUUCUACAUGACUUACUCUUGGGUUUGUUUGGUCUGUAUUAAAAGCCUAAAUAAAAGUCCAUGCAUUACUUUUAACGCAUGAGAA